rnacentral:rRNA from 1 species
AUUGAACGCUGGCGGCAGGCCUAACACAUGCAAGUCGAACGAGUGGCGGACGGGUGAGUAAUGUCUGGGAAACUGCCUGCUGGAGGGGGAUAACUACUGGAAACGGUAGAUAAUACCGCAUACCAUCAGAUUUGCCCAGAUGGGAGUGGCUUGUUGGGGGGGUAACGGCUCACCAAGGCGACGAUCCCUAGAUGGUCUGAGAGGAUGACCAGCCACACUGGAACUGAGCAACGGUCCAGACUCAUACGGGAGGGAGCAGUGGUGAAUAGUGAACAAUGGGCGCAAGCCUGAUGCAGCCAUGCCGCGGGUAUGAAGAAGGCCGUCGGGUUGUAAAGUACUUUCAGCGGGGAGGCGUUACCCGCAGAAGAAGCACCGGCUAACUCCGUGCCAGCCGCCGCGGUAAUUC